CCUACGGGUGGCAGCAGUGGGGAAUAUUGCACAAUGGGGGAAACCCUGAUGCAGCAACGCCGCGUGAGUGAAGAAGUAUUUCGGUAUGUAAAGCUCUAUCAUCAGGGAAGAAGAUGACGGUACCUGAGUAAGAAGCACCGGGUAACUACGUGACAGCAGCGGCGGUACUACGUAGGGGGCAAGCGUUAUCAGGAUUUACUGGGGGUAAGGGGAGCGUAGACGGUGUGACUAGUCUGAAGUGAAAGCCCGGUGCUCAACCCCGGGACUGCUUUGGAAACUGCCUGACUGGAGUGCUGGAGAGGCGAGCGGAAUUCCUAGUGUAGCGGUGAAAUGCGUAGAUAUUAGGAGGAACACCAGUGGCGAAGGCGGCUGGCUGGAUAGUAACUGACGUUGAGGCUCGAAAGCGUGGGGAGCAAACAGGAUUAGAUACCCCUGUAGUC
rnacentral:rRNA from 1 species